GGCUCUGCAAAGGCACAACUCUAUUUAUUUACGUGUGCAGAUGAAGGGCUCGCGGCGCUUCCAAAACCAGCAGAGCACCGCUUGUAGGGGAACGUCAGCGCUGCGCUGUGCCGCAAUCUCACCCAUGGAUUUGUGCAGCACGGGAGCGUACACCAAUGUCAUGUGCAGAGAGCGCUGAGCUCUGAUGGGGUGAAAAGCAGAGCUCAGAGCUCCAGAUCAGGGCAAGCAGUGCAGCGUUGCCAUUGCCAGCUGUGAACCUCAUGGAUCCGACGCUGCGCCCCCACUGGGUCUCACAUCUCAGUGUUCCUGCCAGUGGUUGCUGCCUUUGCCUUCAGAGCCAUCUACUUCCACCGGCCGCCCACCAUGGUCUUCCCACGUGCAGCCUUUGACCCUUACACCUUCUGGUGGUCACUGACACGAUUUCGAAGGACGUUGAUCUCGUACUUCUGCCGCUUGAACUUCUCCUGCAAGUCAAAUUUCUCAGCCUCCAGGUCACGGAUGGUUUGCCACAGCUCCUUGGCUUUGUCCCUCAGUUUGUCUUCGCUGAGGUGGUCGAUGUUCAGAGGCUUCCGCCGCUCGCUGAGGAUCUUUUUCUUCUUCUCCCGCUCCGUUUGCUUCUUGCCACCCUUCUUCUCCGACUUCUGCAUGUAGCCUCCAAAGUGCAGCAUGUUGGAGAAAGCUUUCUUUUUCCGAGCUUCUUCCUCAGCCUUCUUCCGUGCCUCCUCUUCCUCUUUGCGAGCUCUCUCCUCAGCCAUGCGGGCCUGGCGCUCCUUCUCCCUCUCGCUGCGGAUGCGCUGCUGCUCUGCCCUCUCUGCCCUCCGCUGCUCAAUCCUGUCCUUGAGAGAGAUGAGCUCCUCUUCCUCCUUCUUCCUGCUCUCAAAAUGGGCUUCGAUGAGGGCCUGCAGCUCAUUCAGGUCCUUCUCCAUGCGCUUGCGGUGGAUGUCAUCGAAAUCCAGGCGCUCGCCAUCAGGGAUUUUGGGAGGCACCAGGUUGGGCAUGAAGGGCUUGGGUUUGGGCUUUGAUUCACCUUCCCCAGGCUCCUGCUCCCGGUCCCCCUCACCACCUUCUCCUGGUGCUUUUGUUUCAUCUUCUUGUUCUUCUGCCGUGGUUUCCUCUGUCUCCUCUUCCUCCUCGUCUACCUGAUCCUCCUGACCGUCGUCUUCCUCAAGCCAUUCUUCCUCUUCUUCUUCCACAUACUCCUCUUCCACUUACUGCUCGUAUUCCUCAACGACCUCUUCAGAGUCCGACAUGCUUGGCUAUCUGUGCCGAGGUCCCACGGAGCGGUGGGUGCCGGCGGCUGUCUGGGAAGGGCUCCUUGGGGGGCAGAGGCUUUAAGGUCCCCCCGGCGCCCACCCCGGGGCGGGCAGAGCCAGCAGGAAUGUGCCCGGCGCCCAGAGAGGAA
rnacentral:lncRNA from 1 species